CCCUUAGAUGUUCUGGGCCGCACGCGCGCUACACUGAUGCAUUCAACGAGUUUUUCCUGGUCCGAGAGGAAUGGGUAACCUUUUGAAAGUGCAUCGUGCUAGGGAUAGACUAUUGCAAUUAUUGGUCUUCAACGAGGAAUUCCUAGUAGACGUAGUUCAUCAGACUGCAUCGAUUACGUCCCUGCCCUUUGUACACACCGCCCGUCGCCCCUACCGAUUGAAUGUUCCGGUGAGCUCUUCGGACUGCGCGGUCUGCAGUUUCUGCGUUCCGUGCGGAAAGUUGCGCAAACCUUAACAUUUAGAGGAAGGAGAAGUCGUAACA
rnacentral:rRNA from 1 species